GUACAGCUCAUUUUCCUAUUCGGUGCUGUGGACACCUGACUGAAAUCCAGGUUUGCAAGUAAAUCAACUUAAGGUUUUCAAGGCACAUGAUGUCACUCCAGAUGGGAGACGCGCCAGGGCGGUCGAUCUGAGGCCUCUCCUUCGAGGGAGUCAGUUUGGAUGACAAGAGUGGGCUUUCUCCCUGCAGACCGGGCAUCUCACCCAUGUGGUGUGAGCUCAGUGUGAACACCUGUGCCCUCCAGAGCCCUGACAUCUGUGUACUCUUUACAUUUUCUCUUUUUUUCUGUUGUUAAGAUUUUAAGUUUAUGCUGCAAAAAUAGUGAAUCU